GCGGUUCGCCGCCCGCGACUCGGCGAGAAGUCCAUUGAACCUUAUCAUUUAGAGGAAGGAGAAGUCGUAACAAGGUUUCCGUAGGUGAACCUGCGGAAGGAUCAUUG
rnacentral:rRNA from 2 species